GGACAGAAGUUCCAUAUUUUUUUUACCAGAUUCCUGCGAUGCCCCACACUCUAGCCGUCGAUGUCCCCCUCUAGCAGACGCAAUACACACUCAUGUAAAAGUCAGAAACGGAGCGAAGAACUAGUGAAACAUAAUCAGUGAUUAUGAAAAAAGUACAAUAGAUAUCAAGAAGCAGUUUUUUUCAUAAAAUAGUUAAGACUUGUGUCAACAUUUGAAAGUUGAAAUGGUGUCUGUAGCUGAAAGAUUUGCGAAGCUGAAAAAUCUGAAAGUUGAAGAAGUUUAGGAGGAUUUGAAAGAAAACUCCAUUUGAAAACCAUGUUAAAAUAUUAAUGAUUAUUGAUUUAUAUAAAUUCAAGCAUAAGAUGUAGAAAGCUGAAAAGUCAUAGCCCUCAAGCCAGAAAGGAGCUGAACAUUUUAAUAUUUGAAGGAUUUUAAUAGCUGAAAGUGUGAAGGAGUUGAAAGGUGCCGCGGAAGAAAUAGAAGAAACAUAAUAACUAGAAAAGGCAUUUCCUGCUGAAAAUGCGUUGGAAUGCAAAAAGCUGAAAGCUGCACUGAAUAUUUGAAAAUAGCUGAAAAUACAGAAAGUUGAAGGGAAUUUGAAUACAUUUGCUGAAAAGCUGAAAUAAAUUUGAAAUUGCUGAAAAUACAGAAAUGGGAGAAGCUGAAAGGAAUCAAUAGAUUUGCUGAAAAAGCAGAAAUGAAAACAGCUGAAAUAAAUUUGAAAUAUUGCAAAAAAAUACAGAAAUGAAUAUUAAAAAAUUGCUGUUGAUAGAGGCAUAAGAAUAGCUGAAAUUAUUUUAAAGAACUGCUGAAAAUACAGGAAGUGGGGAAGCUGAAUUUCAAUAGAUUUUCUAAAAACAGAAGUUGCAGGAGCUUAAAUUUGUUUAAAAUUGUUUGUAGUAAUAUUAGUAGUAGUAUUAGUUAUAAUUGUGGUAUUAGUAGUACUAGCAGUAUAAGCAGUAAUAGUAGGUUUAGUAUCAAUAGCAGUAGAAACAGCUGGAAUACUAUUAGCCAUAGUAGUAUUUGUAAUAACAUUAGUAGUAGUUGUAGUAUUAAUAGCAGUAGAAAUACUAGUAGUAUGGUAGUAGAAGUAUCAGUUGUAGUACUAGAAGUACGAGUAAUAUUCGUAGUGGGAGACAGAAUGUUUGUUAUUCACACUUAAAAGUUUUUAAUUAAUAGGCCUCAUCACAGACAUUACAGUAAAAAUUCCCUCCAUGGGGCUUUUAUUUUGAAAUUAUUGGAUUGGGUGGGGUGGGGGGGUGUAGAUAGAGGGAGGGAGGGUGAGAGGGUGAGGAAGGGAGGGGUGGUGAGGAAGAGAUAGAGGGAGAGAGAGAGGAGGAGAAAUAGACCUACUGACUGACUGAGAGUGAUUAACAGUGAGAAGAGGUCAGGGUGGAGGGGGGAGGGGGGGCGAGUGUCUUUAUCAUAUUGGUCUGUUGACAGAAAGCAUUAGCUGCGUCAUGUGACUCCACUAAUCAGGUCACAAGGAGCAGCUGUGAGCCACAGACAGAUCCUGCAGCAUGUGAGUGCUCGUAACCACGACAACGCCGCACCUGUGCGGCUGCAAGAGGGCAGACACAGGACCACAGGACAGCGAGUUACACAGAAUCCACACCUCAAACAAAUGAGAACCAGCGCAAAACUAUAACAGCUAUCUAAAAAAUACGGCGUUUGUAUGAGACCCAAGACUCUACCGAACGCGUGGAUGUGUUUUUAUGUCUGUCCGGUAAUAAAUACGGCUCCUAUGGCCGUUGACAGAACGUGUACCUUGUGGAUUUUUGUGAGAAAUAUGUCGGCAGAUUUGUAUUGGAGCCUAUGGGGCUUUUGGCAGAGGUUGUGUCACUCAAACACACCUUGCGCCAAAACUAAAGAACUCUGGGAUUCCAUGAACACAUUAAUCCAAUCAGCACAACCAUACCCUCAUUAAUCUGAAGAAAUGAAGCCUCUAGAGUGUAUACUUUGGCUGCAAGGACAGAAGUUCCAUAUUUUUUUUACCAGAUUCCUGCGAUGCCCCACACUCUAGCCGUCGAGGUCCCCCUCUAGCAGACGCAAUACACACUCAUGUAAAAGUCAGAAACGGAGCGAAGAACUAGUGAAACAUAAUCAGUGAUUAUGAAAAAAGUACAAUAGAUAUCAAGAAGCACUUUUUUUCAUAAAAUAGUUAAGACUUGUGUCAACAUUUGAAAGUUGAAAUGGUGUCUGUAGCUGAAAGAUUUGCGAAGCUGAAAAAUCUGAAAGUUGAAGAAGUUUAGGAGGAUUUGAAAGAAAACUCCAUUUGAAAACCAUGUUAAAAUAUUAAUGAUUAUUGAUUUAUAUAAAUUCAAGCAUAAGAGGUAGAAAGCUGAAAAGUCAUAGCCCUCAAGCCAGAAAGGAGCUGAACAUUUUAAUAUUUGAAGGAUUUUAAUAGCUGAAAAUGUGAAGGAGUUGAAAGGGGGCGCGGAAGAAAUAGAAGAAACAUAAUAACUAGAAAAGGCAUUUCCUGCUGAAAAUGCGUUGGAAUGCAAAAAGCUGAAAGCUGCACUGAAUAUUUAAAAAUAGCUGAAAAUACAGAAAGUUGAAGGGAAUUUGAAUACAUUUGCUGAAAAGCUGAAAUGAAUUUGAAAUUGCUGAAAAUACAGAAAUGGGAGAAGCUGAAAGGAAUUUCAAUAGAUUUGCUGAAAAAGCAGAAAUGAAAACAGCUGAAAUAAAUUUGAAAUAUUGCAAAAAAAUACAGAAAUGAAUAUUGAAAAAUUGCUGUUGAUAGAGGCAUAAGAAUAGCUGAAAUUAUUUUAAAGAACUGCUGAAAAUACAGGAAGUGGGGAAGCUGAAUUUCAAUAGAUUUUCUAAAAACAGAAGUUGCAGGAGCUUAAAUUUGUUUAAAAUUGUUUGUAGUAAUAUUAGUAGUAGUAUUAGUUAUAAUUGUGGUAUAAGCAGUAAUAGUAGGUUUAGUAUCAAUAGCAGUAGAAACAGCUGUAAUACUAUUAGCCAUAGUAGUAUUUGUAAUAACAUUAGUAGUAGUUGUAGUAUUAAUAGCAGUAGAAAUACUAGUAGUAUGGUAGUAGAAGUAUCAGUUGUAGUACUAGAAGUACGAGUAAUAUUCGUAGUGGGAGACAGAAUGUUUGUUAUUCACACUUAAAAGUUUUUAAUUAAUAGGCCUCAUCACAGACAUUACAGUAAAAAUUCCCUCCAUGGGGCUUUUAUUUUGAAAUUAUUGGAUUGGGUGGGGUGGGGGGGUGUAGAUAGAGGGAGGGAGGGUGAGAG
ensembl:lncRNA